UAAAUUUUUUUAAUAUUUAUUUUCUACUUUUCGGCGGAUACAACAUCUUUCUUUGUAUGUGGUGCUGAGGAUCGAACCCGGGCCGCACGCAUGCCAGGCGAGCGCGCUACUGCUUGAGCCACAUCCCCAGCCCUGGAAGGACACUUUGAUUCCUAGAGCUCCAUUAAUUGUUGGACUAUAGUUUUGAGGCUAGUGACUUUUGCUUAUUAAAUAGUAUAUUCCUGCCCACGUCCCGUGAGGGCCAUGGAAUGGGUUGGCUGAGAAAUAAAAGCUAAGAGAAAUAAAACAGUGAAAAAUACACAGAACACAGAAAGUAGUUUCAAAGGGGGGGGGAGGACAGGAUGGGCAAGCUGAUCAGAGGAUCGAGCUUCUGACAAAAUGGAACCUGCGCCUGCUUUAUUUAUACUGGGAAACAUCAAAGGCCUUCUCCAAAAUAGGUUAAAGGUGGACUGUUCAGUUCCUAACAGGUUAUGCCCAUCUCUGGAGCUACUAUGAGGAGCCUUCCUAGCAGAGCGGAAGGAAAGGUCAUGUGCGUUUGGUGAUCUAUUGCCAUGGGAGAGCCACGGAAAGUUCCCAAUGCCUGACUUCCAUGUCAGAGAAGAUCCUCGUGUAUUUCCUGGAUGGCUUCCCGCAGUAUAUAUGUUUUACACAUAUAGUAGUUUUUUAAAUCGUACAAUACAAUCUCUAGCUACUCUAAACAUAUCUAGGUCAACAUGAGGUAAAGACAGUUGGAAAGGAGACAAGCAGGAAAGAAAAGAACUGUAGCUUUAAAUCUAAAACCUUCAUGAACUCCCUCACUUCCCUCCUAAGGCCUGAUUUCCUCCAGGGCUAAAUUCUUAACACAUCCAAUAAAUCUUAAAGUACUGUAAUUCCAGUUAAUUAGUGCCUAUAUACCUUGUUAGUUUACAGAAUGUGUUUUUAGACUAAUUAAAAGAAGCCUAGAGAGAGACUGUUAGAAACCCAUGACAUGGGAACAGUCCCAGUGCUGUCUUUUAACUAGAUAAUGUCAACCUAAAGAUGAUGAAAAGAAGCAGACCACCAUGACCCACUCUGUGUUCCUGAUGAAAAGAAUCACACUCAUUAAGCUGAGGCCGCCCCUGUGUGCUUCUCUUGGUCAUCAUAAAGAAGCCCGAGACCCCAAAAGCACCUCUCACUCUCAGGGGGAAACAUCUAAGGGAAGAGGUAGGCAAGCAAACAUAUUUAUAUACAGAGGCCUGAAACCGGUGGCUGUGGAAAGAGGAAGGAGCUGAACUAAAAUUACAAAGGAGAGUCUUGAACUUAACCAACUGUGUCAAAUAUUGCAACAACAGGAAGAACACACUCCCUUUCCCUUUAGUGGCAUUGUGUGUGCUAUUGUUUGCUUUCCUGAAUAAAUCUGUGCUUGUGCUCUUGCCGUGUCCUGAAAUUACUUUCUGUGGAGUAAGUCAAGAACCUGCUGAGGUUGAGUUGAGGUCCCCUUUUCCCUUCUGGGGACCUUCUUGAAUCCAACCCAGUGACAGUCUUGCUACUGUGACAUACUAUGAAAGCUUUUUUUUUUUUUUUUUUGCCUUUUUUCUUUCUUUCUUCUUUUAGUUGUAGUUGGACACAAUACCUUUAUUUUUUUUAUUUAUUUAUUUAUUUAUUUAUUUAUUUAUUUUUAUGUGGUGCUGAGGGUGGAACCCAGUGCCUCAUACAUGCUAGGUGAGUGCUCUACCACUGAGCCACAACCUCAGCCCCUUGCCUUGUUUCUUAACAUAACUUUUGUUAUUGUGUAUUUGUAAUUUGACAUAAUAUUCUUUAAAGUAAAUGUUGAAGGGAAUUUCAGAAAAUUCCUUCUAUUGUUCAGAAUUUGUAAUAAAAGUAUUUUAAAUGAUUCCUCUGAACACUGCUUUAGCAGUAUCACAUAGGUUCUGGUAUGCAAUGCUUUCAUUGCCAUUAUUUUCUCAAUAGUCUGCAAUUCCAAUUGGAUUUUUCUUUUAGAUCCCAAAACUAUUUAACCUGAGAUAUUUUAUUUUCAUUUAUAAGUGGGUAGUAGUUUCUGUUUCUUUGUUUUGUUAUUGUGGUAGAGGUUUUCUCAGAACACAGAAAAAGAUAACAUGGUGCCCUCAGUAUCAAAGCCCGCCUUCCACAACUCAGUUGUAACAUUGUUGCUACUCUAGAAAUAGAAUGACCAACCAGCAACAUGUAUAACCUUAUAUAAAAGACAAAGAAUUAGUAUGUAAAAGCAAACUAUAAAAGUAUAUAUGUUUACAACCCCCUGCACUAAAGGCUCAGCCUUUGUGUAAGAAUCCACUGGGCGGGGGUGGGGAUGUGGCUCAAGCGGUAGCGCGCUCGCCUGGCAUGCGUUCGGCCUGGGUUCGAUCCUCAGCACCACAUACAAAAAAAGAUGUUGUGUCCGCUGAAAACUAAAAUAAAUAAAUAAAUAUUAAAAAAUUCUCUCUCUCUUAAAAACAACAACAACAAUAAGAAUCCACUGGGCGAGUGCUGGUACUAAUGCUACUUUCUGCUAAUAGCCCUGGUGUCUCGUAUUUCUGUCCACAUCCAAAACAUUUGCAUUGCUAUUAGAGAAAAUUGCCUUUACUAUUUUCUCUCUUGAAUUGUUUUUUCAGAAUCACAGAAUUUGACAUAUAUCAGUUAACUCAAUCUUAUUAGUUAUGUUGUUUAAGUCCACUAUAGUCUUCCAUGUCAUUUAACCUUAUUUUUUAAUUCAUACUUUCCAUCUCCUUGUUUCUCUCCACUGCAUUCUGGACCUGUUCUUCAUCUAUACUAUCUUGUUAACAAAUUCUCACAUGAGUUAUCUAAUUUACUAGUUAAUCCUUCUACUGAGUUCUUCCCCACUCCCCAAUUACAUAUUUUUAUUUCUAGUUCCUUUUGGAUUGUUUCCAAAAUGUUUUUGCUCAUACCUGAGUGUUUCUAGUUGAAUGCUCACUUUUAAAAUUGCAUUCUUUAGCUAGGCACAGAGACUCAUGCCUGUAAUCCCACUGGCUCAGGAGGCUGAGACAGAAGGUUCAUAAAUUCAAAGCCAUCCUCAGCAACUCAGGGAGGCCCUAAGCAACUUAGGAAGACCCUAGGGAUGUGGCCCUGUAGUUAAGGACCCCUGGGUUCAAUCCUGGUACCAAAAAUAAAAUAAAAUAAAAUAAAUAAAAAUUAUAUGCUUUAUAUCUUUAAACCUCAUAAAUAUCUGCUUUAUGUUGUAUGUGGAUGGUUUUAAUUCAAUACAUGCAUGCAUUUCUUAAUGAUAGAGAAUAUAUAGUGAGAUGUGUAUUAUUAGGUACAACAAAAAAUUUCACUUCCAUUGUGGGACUGCUAUUCUACAUGUGGUCCAUCCUUGAUCAAAACAUCCUUAUAGCAAUGUAUGUCUAUAUUUGAAAACUUUGAGGAGUCUAAACCUGUUGUUCUUGUUCUACUUACUUUCACUCAUGGUGAUUUCCUUUUUAUGUGUUUGGUAAUAUUGUUUGUGAGUUGUUUGAUCAUAAUCUAUGGAAUCCUCUGGACCAAAUUUAGAGAGCUCUCCUCCAAACAAGAUUUGUUUUGAUUCCUGUCAUUACCAGGAAUAUUCCAGCUCUCCAUAAAGCUUUGGCUCGGAGAGUCUAGGCUCAGUUUGUCCAAGUGCCACUCUGAGGUUUGAUUUCUACAAUUGUGGUACUGUAGGACUACUUCCUCAGGCCAACACUCUCUUCCUGGCUUUCUGUCGCUCCAGAAAGCUUCUUGCCAUGCUGGCUCUCUACUGCUUUACAAGCCAGUGGGAAUUUUUCUUAUGACCUAGCAUUUUGUGAGUGAGUUUUGUUUGGACUUCACUUUUUCCCCGCUAGUGAAGAUGGACUGAUACAGGGAUGUUCCCAAUGUGACAUCUCUCUUCUUUCCUACCGCCACAGAUGCAAACUUCUGUGAUACAACUUGUCUGCACCAUAACAUAUGUUACUGUACUUUCUUUGCUUCUUAGAACCAUAUGGUUCAGGGAAAGUCCCAAAACUAGACUGAGAAUCUCAUUCUUGUCUUUGAAAUUUAGAAACUGAAAACAAAAGAUUUAGGCUCUAUGGCAAAAUUUAAGUUUUUUCAUUUUUGUUGUUGUUGUUUGUUUUGUGGUGCUAGGGAUUGAACCCAGGGCCUUAUGCAUCCAAGGCAAGCACUCGACCAACUGAGCUACAUCCCCAGCCCCUAAAAUUUAAGUUUUUAACCUUCAAGUAUAUUUUUCUGGGUGUAGUGGCACAUGCCUGGAAUCCCAGCUACUUGGGAGGCUGAGGCAGGAGGAUCACAGUUCAAUCAAGGCCUGCCUCAGCAACUUAGCAAGAUCUUGUCUCAAAAUAAAAAGUAAAAAAGGACUAGGAAUGUAGUUCAGUGGUAGAGUGCCCCUUGUUUCAAUCCCCAGUAACAAAAUCAAAAACAAAAAAAUGCAGCAUAACACUAACCUUGACCCAAAUCCAACCCCAAAUCCUAAAUAUAAUAAAAUCUUUCUAAAAUUGGCACACUUGGGCUAGGGAUGUGGAUCAAGUGGUAGUGCGCUCGCCUGGCAUGCGUGCGGCCCGGGUUCGAUCCUCAGCACCACAUACAAACAAAGAUGUUGUGUCCGCAGAGAAUUGAAAAAUAAAUAUUAAAAAAAUAAUAAUAAAAUAAAAUUGGCACACUUAAAAUCCCCUCAUUUUCAUCCUUCCACUGAUUUUUUUUUUGUACUGAGACUUGAACCCAGGGUACUUUACCACUGAGCUACGCCUCCAGUCCUCUGUGUUUUUUAUGUUGAGACAGUGUCUUGCUAAAUUGCCAGCCUCCGACCUGUCAUCCUCCUACCUCAGUCCCCCAAGUUUCUAGGAUGACAGGCAUGCACCACCACAUCUAGCUUCCAUUUCUUCUUCUUUUUUUAAUCUUUAUUUUAUUUAUUUAUUUGUAUAUGGUGCUGAGGAUCAAACCCAGGGCCUCACAUGUGCUAGGCAAGCGCUCUUCUGCUGAGCCACAACACCAGCGCCCCCCAUUUAUUCUUUAAUUUAGGAAUUUGAAUCAUAGUUUCUUUUUCUCAUCUAGCUUGUUACUUUUGGGGAUUUCAACUCAAAAAUGAAAAGUGAUACCUCUACGUUUCCAUUUUCCACUAUUAAAUCCUGCUAUGUUCUUAGUGAAAAAUCUCAUUUUUGAAGACAUCUCAUGUGCUUAGAAAACUGCCUGGAAUGUAACUCAGUGGUAGAGCAGUUGCCUACAUUUGUGAGGCCUUGAUUUCAGUCCUCCAUACUGCAAAAAAAGAAAGAAAGAGAGAAAGGGGCAGAGAAAGAAAGAACAAAAAGAAAAACGGUACUUGGUAAUGUGUCUCCACUAACUUUCAGUUGCCAGGUGCAACUCAUCUUGGUUUGAACUACAUUCGAAAUGCCUACUCAUGCUUUCAUGUGGUUAUCGUCGUACAGCUUUCUAUCUUCAGUGUUUUUAAAAAAAUGCUAAGAAAGACUUUUAAAAUGUUUCACUAAAGCAAAACAUAAAUAUGAAAAUAGUGGGGCUGGGGUUGUGGCUCAGUAGUAGAGCGCUUGCCUUGCAUGUAUGAGCCACUCGGCUUGGUCCUUAGCAGCACAUAAAAAUAAAUAAAUAAAAUAAAGGUAUUGUGUCCAUCUACAAAUAAAAAAUUUUUUUUGAAAAUAUGAAAAUAGUAAUGUGAUUAUUCAGGUUCAGAAUGUCAUAAAUAUAAAAAGUGAACAAGACCUCCAGUUUUAUUUUAUGAUGGUGCAUUAUAAUUAUACAUAAUAGUAGACUUCAUUGUUACCUAUCCAUACACGCAUAUAAUAUAACUUGGUUGAUUUCAUUCACCCGUAUUUCCCCUUUCUCUCCCCUCUUUUCCUCUCCCUGAUCCCCUUCCUCUAUUCUAGUGGUUUUCUUUCUAAUUUCAUGAGAUCCCCUUUCUAGCCUCCACAUAUGGGGACCUCUGAUUUUAUAUAAGUAAAUAGGCAAAUGAUAGUUUUGUACAAACCAGUAAAGAAGAAAAAUAAUAUAAAAAGUGUGAAAGUAGAUAGAUAAAAAUUAGCAA
rnacentral:lncRNA from 1 species